rnacentral:rRNA from 1 species
AGUUUGAUCAUGGCUACAGAACGAACGCUGGCGGCAGGCUUAACACAUGCAAGUCGAACGGUUGUAGCAAUACAGCAGUGGCGCACGGGUGAGUAACGCGUGGAUAUCUGCCUUUUGGUUCGGAAUAACUCCGGGAAACUGGAGCUAAUACCGGAUGGUUCCUGCGGGAUAAAGAUUUAUCGCCAAAAGAUGAGUCCGCGUACGAUUAGCUAGUUGGUGAGGUAAUGGCUCACCAAGGCGACGAUCGUUAGCUGGUCUGAGAGGACGAUCAGCCACACUGGGACUGAGACACGGCCCAGACUCCUACGGGAGGCAGCAGUGGGGAAUAUUGGACAAUGGGGGCAACCCUGAUCCAGCCAUGCCGCGUGAGUGAUGAAGGCCUUCGGGUUGUAAAGCUCUUUUGGCGGGGACGAUGAUGACGGUACCCGCAGAAUAAGCCCCGGCUAACUUCGUG